UACAGAGGUCCCAAGCGUUGUUCGGAUUCAUUGGGCGUAAAGGGUGCGUAGGCGGCGCGGUAAGUCGGGUGUGAAAUCUCGGAGCUUAACUCCGAAACUGCAUUCGAUACUGCCGUGCUUGAGGACUGGAGAGGAGAUUGGAAUUUACGGUGUAGCGAGUGAAAUGCGUAGAUAUCGUAAGGAAGACCAGUGGCGAAGGCGG
rnacentral:rRNA from 1 species